CCUACGGGAGGCAGCAGUGGGGAAUAUUGCACAAUGGGGGAAACCCUGAUGCAGCGACGCCGCGUGAGUGAAGAAGUAAUUCGUUAUGUAAAGCUCUAUCAGCAGGGAAGAAAAUGACGGUACCUGAGUAAGAAGCCCCGGCUAACUACGUGCCAGCAGCCGCGGUAAUACGUAGGGGGCAAGCGUUAUCCGGAUUUACUGGGGGGAAAGGGAGCGUAGACGGCAGUGCAAGUCUGGAGUGAAAGGCGGGGGCUCAACCCCAGGACUGCUCUGGAAACUGUACGGCUGGAGUGCAGGAGAGGUAAGUGGAAUUCCUAGUGUAGCGGUGAAAUGCGUAGAUAUUAGGAGGAACACCAGUGGCGAAGGCGGCUUACUGGACUGUAACUGACGUUGAGGCUCGCAAGCGUGGGGAGCAAACAGGAUUAGAUACCCCUGUAGUC
rnacentral:rRNA from 1 species